rnacentral:rRNA from 1 species
UACGGGAGGCAGCAGUGGGGAAUAUUGCACAAUGGGCGCAAGCCUGAUGCAGCCAUGCCGCGUGUAUGAAGAAGGCCUUCGGGUUGUAAAGUACUUUCAGCGGGGAGGAAGGCGAUGUGGUUAAUAACCGCGUCGAUUGACGUUACCCGCAGAAGAAGCACCGGCUAACUCCGUGCCAGCAGCCGCGGUAAUACGGAGGGUGCAAGCGUUAAUCGGAAUUACUGGGCGUAAAGCGCACGCAGGCGGUCUGUUAAGUCAGAUGUGAAAUCCCCGGGCUUAACCUGGGAACUGCAUUUUGAACUGGCAGGCUUGAGUCUCGUAGAGGGGGUGAAUUCCAGGUGUAGCGGUGAAAUGCGUAGAGAUCUGGAGGAAUACCGGUGGCGAAGGCGGCCCCUGGGACGAAGACUGACGCUCAGGGUGCGAAAGCGUGGGGAGCGAAACAGGGAUUAGGAUACCCGGU